CCGGUGAAUGACUUAGCCACUUAACCUUAUUAGGAGUAAUAUGUAUGUGGUAAAGGUUAGCUAAUGGGUUUAGCUAAUGAAAUACAAUUUAUGAUAUUACGAAGUGAAAGUGUAGGAGCAGGGAAAAAAAAAAAAAAAAAAAAAAGAAGGCCUCCUGGUUUGUGCCAAGGUUAAGUUUGUGGACUUCCAGCUGAGGCACGUGAGCCCAAGAUCUCCACCUGCUGAGGUAAUCAGCCAGCCCAGGCCUACAGGUAGCUGCAAGAAGCUUAACGUGUGGAGAAACUAACUUCUCCUUACAAAGAUAUGAUUCUAACUAUUUCGACCAGACUGUCUUGGGGCCCUACCUCUCAGGAACUGAGUGCUGGAAAACCUCCACUGGAAAAAAACAAAAAACCAAAAAAACAACAACACCCUUUUAAAAGAGAGGAUAUCAGAAGUAUACAUCUUUUAUCCAUGCCCCACACACUUGCAUGUGAAGGGAGAGCACCAGCUGUUUUUCUCAUGGAGGCACUAUGGAAAACACACCUCUCAAACUGGGGCUCACAGCCAGGACAACUGGUGAUGGUGACACAAAAAAGCAACUCAUCACAGAGCUUACUCACCUCAAUGACUAAGUCAUUCUGCAUGACUUCAUAAUCUAAUGCAUCCAGAUAAGCUGCAAACAAAUGGAGGAGACAAAUUAUAAUAAAAAGAUGGUAAGGAGUUAAAAAUUUACCUGU
rnacentral:lncRNA from 1 species